rnacentral:lncRNA from 1 species
UCAGAAAGGUGCUCUUCACUGGUUCCCACAAAACCCAACUCCACGGGGAGUCCUGGACCCCAUCUCAGAGGCCUCCUUCCUCUUUCUGAGUCUUUCUGAUUGCACAUUUGGGGGCAUCCCUCGACUUUGGGGAGGAAGUUUCCCAUAUAUUCUAAGUGCCCUACACUCUCCACCGGGAAACCCAUCGCUGUCCUCCAACCCACCUCUCCACUUAAAAAGAAGUCCCUCCCUGCCACCUUCCGGUCCUUGGACUGCUACCCGCCUGUUGGGGUGGGGGCAGGGGGCACUCAAGGAGCUCCCGAGUUAGGAGUCCCGGGUACAGAGGCCACUCACGUGUCCAGGCGGAUUUUUUUAAGCGCCACCACUUCUCCCGUCACCUUGUUUUUGGCUUUGUACACAACUCCGUACGUGCCCUCUCCGAUCUUUUCCACUUUUUGGAAGUUCUCCAUGAAGCGCUAGCGAGUCGGGUCAGCCGGGCCCUGGAGCGGGGGCCUGGGAAACCUGCAAAAGGCGGGCCCCGACUCUCGGGGGGUGGAGGAGGGGAAAACCGGGCCCAGCUCCGCGGCCCCAGGUCGGGAUGGAACGCAGUGUAUUUCUCGCUCUUGUCAAUUUGUCCAACUU